AACAGGAUUAGAUACCCUGGUAGUCCACGCCGUAAACGAUGUCGACUUGGAGGUUGUGCCCUUGAGGCGUGGCUUCCGGAGCUAACGCGUUAAGUCGACCGCCUGGGGAGUACGGCCGCAAGGUUAAAACUCAAAUGAAUUGACGGGGGCCCGCACAAGCGGUGGAGCAUGUGGUUUAAUUCGAUGCAACGCGAAGAACCUUACCUACUCUUGACAUCCAGAGAACUUUCCAGAGAUGGAUUGGUGCCUUCGGGAACUCUGAGACAGGUGCUGCAUGGCUGUCGUCAGCUCGUGUUGUGAAAUGUUGGGUUAAGUCCCGCAACGAGCGCAACCCUUAUCCUUUGUUGCCAGCGGUUCGGCCGGGAACUCAAAGGAGACUGCCAGUGAUAAACUGGAGGAAGGUGGGGAUGACGUCAAGUCAUCAUGGCCCUUACGAGUAGGGCUACACACGUGCUACAAUGGCGCAUACAAAGAGAAGCGACCUCGCGAGAGCAAGCGGACCUCAUAAAGUGCGUCGUAGUCCGGAUUGGAGUCUGCAACUCGACUCCAUGAAGUCGGAAUCGCUAGUAGUCGUAGAUCAGAAUGCUACGGUGAAUACGUUCCCGGGCCUUGUACACACCGCCCGUCACACCAUGGGAGUGGGUUGCAAAAGAAGUAGGUAGCUUAACCUUCGGGAGGGCGCUUACCACUUUGUGAUUCAUGACUGGGGUGAAGUCGUAACAAGGUAACCAAUCAC
rnacentral:rRNA from 1 species